CGUCUUGCUGCACGACGACGGUUACCUGCACUCCGCGCACAAGCUUCGCCCCAUUAUUAUACAGUUCUAGUGUUUUGGAUUUACACGCAAGGAAUCACUUCGUCGCCGCCGUUUUCACUUGUUCAACGAUAUUUAUUUUUUUUUUUUUUUUCAUCAUUCAUAUUUUGUUUCCGUACUUUCUGUAUUUACAGUAAAUUACAAGAGACGAACGCUUUAGUAGUAACAAUACUGUUCCAUUAUAAUGAACUUUGACGUGUGUAUUUUACAGCCGACGGACCGCGGUCCAAUCCGUCGUCGCCGGGUCGAAACGAAUCGCUUACGCCGGACAUUGUCGUUUCUAAUAUUAAUAAUCGUACACUGUUUGUUUUCCGUACGAGUCGUGUGCGUUAAAGGGUAUCUCGCGCGACACGAAUCCGAGGACUGUGUCGCGUCGCCGUCGUUAUUGUCGCCCUUGGCAAACGGCCCUCGGAUCGACACGCCGUCGGGUAAAAUAGUGGCCGCCGCCGUCGUCGUGGCAUCUGGGCCGCGCGGUCGUCGCACACAUGGCGUGGGCAAAUAUGGCGGCGGUCGCACGGUUCUCUUCGGUACGGGUCGAAAAAAAAAAAUGAAAUAAAAUAAAAAAAAAAAAAAUUACGGACCAUCGACGACGCGGUACAACAGCGAGUGAGAUAGACAGAGAGAGACAGACAGACAGACACAGUGAGAAACAAAGACGAUUCCUCGUGCGCGCGUGUUGUGCGUGUUUCUCUCCUUUUUUUUUUUUUUUUUCUUUCCCCUCGCCCGUGUACGCGUACGCUGUUUAUACAGUGCGUGUACAAUAAUAAUAAUAAUAAUAUUACGGAGUAUUUUCGCGCGACAGGUUUCUACGGGAUACCCGGUGGCCGUGCCCCCGAAUUCUUCCCGGUCGGGCCGGGGACCGGCAUUCCAGCAGGUAAACGCGACCCCGAGACGCCAACGUCCGGCGGCGGCGGCGGCGGUUGUUUUCGGGGCGCGGGUGCUACGCGGCGUUGUAGACGAGACGUAAUUUCAAUACAACGUAGGUAAUACGCACAAUAAUAACAAAUAGUAAUAAUAUCGUAAAAACGCGUUUCGGAAAGGAAAAAAAACGACGACGACACAGAUAGAGAGAGAGAGCGUGACGGAGAACGCGCGUACCGGAAUCGUCCGACGGACGGGCGGCUCGCGACAUUUUAUUAUUAUUAUUAUUAUUACGCCUAUCCGGCGGCGAUCGUUUCGUCACCGCUUGUUGUUGGUGAGGGGGGGGGCCGGUAUUUAUAACAAUUUGCGCGUUUUUUACACGUCUAUUUAUAUCGCAGGGUAAAAGUUCACCGGCGGCGUGGGAGGUGAGUAAAAUCCUCUCGAAUUCGCCGCGCGACGCAAUUUACGUACGUUUUCGGUAUUUCGGUAAUAAUAUCUCGUAUUUAUUGUUACUAAUUGUAAACGGUCGUGAUAUUUUGUUUCGCGUUUUUUCGACGUAUUUUUAUUAUUUUUUUUCCCGCGUCAAACGGCAGGUACGUUUUCGCUAAAUUAUCGUGUCGGUAUUUAUUUUUUUCGCUCGUCGCACGUUUACGCGCCGUCAUUAGAGCAGGAGACGUCGGGCUCCGGGGAGUGCGUAUCCAAAGAUUUACACCGUCCGCGCGUUUUCGUAAUUUUCAUGGAAUAGUUUUUUUAUUUUAUUUUUUAUCCCACACCGUGAUAAACGCACCGGUUACCCGUUUAAAUCGUGAGAUUUUCCCGACGCUGUUUUUUUUUUUUCGCGCCGCGCUUUUCGUCGAAGAGAAAUUCCCGACCGUUUACCCGGGCCCCGGCCAUAACCUAACCGUCCGUAUAUUACGUUUAUCAGUGUCUGUACCGCGUGUCGCGUUAUUAAAAAUAUAACAUUUUUAUCAAUUACGUCGUAUGUUAUGUGCACUUAUAACUGUAUCGCGCGCGGUUUUUUUUUUUUCUCUCUCCCGCCGUUUAGAAGGAAAAAUUAUAACUGUCCGGCGAUGUUAUAACGGGUGACGACCGACGCGGCCCCUUUCUCGCGCGGCCCGCGUACAUAACAAAAAUAAUAAUGAUAAAAAAACAACACGUACCGGCGUGAAAGUCUUUUACCCGGCUGUUUUUUUUUUUUUUUUUAUAUAACUGGGAAAACGUCGUUUUACACGCGAGCACGCCGAGAUAUACCGCGCGGAUCCGCUCGACCGCGAACAAUAAUAACGACCGGUGUCGUCGGUACGGUGUGCCGGUUAACAAU
rnacentral:lncRNA from 1 species